rnacentral:rRNA from 1 species
UACGAAGGGUGCAAGCGUUACUCGGAAUUACUGGGCGUAAAGCGUGCGUAGGCGGUUUGUUAAGUCUGCUGUGAAAGCCCCGGGCUCAACCUGGGAACGGCAGUGGAUACUGGCAAGCUAGAGUGUGUCAGAGGAUGGUGGAAUUCCCGGUGUAGCGGUGAAAUGCGUAGAGAUCGGGAGGAACAUCAGUGGCGAAGGCGGCCAUCUGGGACAACACUGACGCUGAGGCACGAAAGCGUGGGGAGCAAACAGG